UACGUAGGGUGCAAGCGUUAAUCGGAAUUACUGGGCGUAAAGCGUGCGCAGGUGGUUGUGCAAAGACAGAUGUGAAAUCCCCGGGCUUAACCUGGGAGCUGCAUUGUGACUGCACGGCUAGAGUGCGGUAGAGGGGGAUGGAAUUCCGCGUGUAGCAGUGAAAUGCGUAGAUAUGCGGAGGAACACCGAUGGCGAAGGCAAUCCCCUGGGCCUGCACUGACACUCAUGCACGAAAGCGUGGGGAGCAAACAGG
rnacentral:rRNA from 1 species